ensembl:lncRNA
AGGGGACGGGACCUCAGUGGCACUGCUCUUUUAAAAUUUUAAAUCUUUUCCCCAAAAUAUCAAAUACAAAACCGCCCAAUCUGGCAACCCUGUGGAGACUAUCCUGUAUCUUGCAUCUUCUGUUUUCCUCUGGUUUCUAAAGUAAAUGUGGUUUAGAAUAGUCGUACAGUGUAUGACUAGCAGGACAGGAUGUCUGGUAAAGGUAAAGAUGACCUGAUAAAAUGUAGAUCUGUUAGAGGAGGGACCCUUUUUUUCUCAUUUGAGACAGGUUCUCCAGUUGUACUCGAGUCUUGCCCGUUUUCCCUGACUUCCCUGGAGCUAUGAGCAGCUUAAUGGAGGUGGACUCCCAGCUGUGAAUUUAUCACGGAACUCCAGCAUCCUGCUUCGCUGGCCAGUAAGAACCACAGCAGCUGCUGCCUCCCGCCCUCAGAUGGAAGAGCAGAAGAAGAAAACUUGUCUCUUUUCCAUCUUCACUUUCUAACAGAGGACGAGUGUCCAGUCUGGAACUGGUAUGGAGCAGUAGCGUAAUGGAGUACCACCAAGCUGCUUCACUAGUCAGCAGAAGGAUGAUACGUCUGGAUGUGCCUGGAGGAGCCUCUGGGUUUUGGUUCCAUGCUCCCUGUCUGCUUUGGCUCUGGGUUCUGGGAUCUCCAGCCACCGCAUAUUUCAUGCAGGACUCGAAGGCUGUCCUGAAUGGUUGCGGUGACUUCUGGACCCUGCAGGACCAUUGGAGCAUCCCGGUGCUGUUCCAAAUGACCGUUUGUGUGGACGUGAAUGUGGUGGCCGAGGGGGAAUGGACGGCGUUCACCUAUAACUCUCCACACACCCCACGGCAUGACCUGGCCUUGCAAGGGGACCCCGAGUUCCUCUACGUCUGGCUCCUGGGGGUCAAGCACCGCUUCCCAGUGCGCCUGUCCCCCCAGCGCUGGCAUCAGAUCUGCCUGCAGCGGGACUCCCGGCACGACCGCUUCCGUCUGGAAGUGGGCGGGGACCCCGGCACGUACGAGCGCAUGGUCGUCGCACACGCCAUUCCCCCGUCGGGCCAGCUGCUGCUCGGCUGUCGGCCGCAGGACGCCACACCGGGAUCCAGUCAGGGGAGGGUGGAGCUCUACCUCUUCCGCAUGUGGGCCGACGUGCAGGACCACCACUCCUGUGAAGAUGGCACAGUGGUGGGCUGGGACUCGCGCCUCUGGGGAAUCACGGUCCCACGUGCGAGGGCCCACGAUGAAGCUCUGCACUGCGCACAGACCACAGGGGGCAGAGUUGCCAUGGCGGUGCCAGAAGUGGCAAGCUCAGCCACGCCCCCCUUUCAGACUGGCCCGACCCCUAAAGAACCACCAGCCACACCCAUCGAGGCCACUGCAGCCACUCUGACCACCCCUUUCACACCAACUGGACCAUCUUCAUCCAAGCAGAGUAAGAACGGCCACGUUCUUAAGAACGUCCAUAUUAACCUUCUUUUUCCCGACUGUUAACCCCGAAACGGCGUCUGCAUGAUCAGUAGUACUGAAACCAGGAGGUCUGUAGAACGCUGGGGUGGAGGCUUUCUGAUCUGUAGAUGCAUGUCUGCUUCUCUCUCUGUCUGACUGAAGUUACAGGCCGGACUCGGGUGAAACGUGCUAAAGAGGACAAUGACCAUCACAGUGAGUUGCCCAACACCUCGCCUGAAACCAGCCUCCAUUCUUCUCUCCCUAUUCUCAACACAGCAAUGUCACAGCAUGUUGAAACCCUGUACGCAGUUUGCCUAAUAAUACAAAAUAUUUGGCCAUAUAACCGGCUCUAAAAGAUGAAAGUGCCGACUCAGCAGCCAACAAAAUAACACGAAACCAACCAUAUCGUGAAUUCAAACAGUGACUCAAUUAUAUUCCCCCCUCCCAUUACUAAUUAUUAAAUUGUUAAUAACACAACUAUUUACAGAUCAGCCUAACAGUGACAUUAAUACGCACAGGGAAAUGGCAGAUCGUAUGAUGGGUACAUUACAUACGUUAAACAUUUAACAUAUCUGUAGAAAAUACCACCUAUCAUGUGAAGCCUAAUAAAUAACACAAUCAUUUCA